CACGUAGGCGGAUAGGUUAGUCAGAUGUGAAAUCCCGGAGCUCAACUCCGGAACUGCAUUUGAUACUGCCUGUCUUGAGUGUGGUAGAGGGGGGUGGAAUUCCCGGUGUAGAGGUGAAAUUCGUAGAUAUCGGGAGGAACACCAGAGGCGAAGGCGACCCCCCUGGGCCACUACUGACGCUGAGGUGCGAAAGCGUGGGGGAGCAAACA
rnacentral:rRNA from 1 species